ensembl:lncRNA novel transcript
GCUGUCAUGACUGUGGGCACAUCACUUCAUCUCACUGAAUGUCAUUCUUCAUUUGUGGAUGUUUGCAUGGUCAAUGCCGAGCACAUUUCCUCACAUAUGCCAUUUCAGGAUACAGGGAGAAGCUAGUAGUCUCCAAGAGAGAAAGAAAGCCUUCACCAGAUACAGAGACCUGCCAGAGCCAUGAUCUUGGACUUUCCACCUUCCAGACUGUGAGAAAUAAAAGCCUAUUGCUUAAGCCA